rnacentral:lncRNA from 1 species
CUUUAUUUUUAGGUUACGUUUUCCCUUUCCACGCCCGGAAAUUUUCUGUUCUAUGGGUGGCACAUUGACACAAUUUUGGGUUUAAUACUGGCGUUAUUUACGACAACUUUAGCUGCAAUGCUUUCGGAAGGAUUGAAGUACGUGCGUUACUUACCGAAAAAACAACGUGGACAAAGAAAAUGCACACCUUUAGCAAAAGUGUUCCUGCAGAAUAUGAAAACCCGUUUAUGGCAAACAUGUCUACAUAUGCUACAGACAGGAACUGGAUUGUUUCUAAUGUUAUGUUCCAUGUCUUAUAAUACCUGGAUUUUCAUCAGCAUCAUUGUUGGUUCAUUUUUAGGAUACUUCUUCUUACACCCAGUCAUACGAAUCCAUGCUGAUAAAAAAAUAAAACGGACAAAGCCAUCGGCUGUGGAGAUUGCACUGAUCGACAAUCCGUCAACACGGAGCGUCAAGCAAUGAACAUCUUUUAAUGUGCUUAUGUCUCAAUGCUUACGUUUUUCUCAUAAAUAAAAUAUUCAUAAUUCUUUAUACAAUAGGCACUAGGCCUGAAAAUUUCUGAUGGAAGUGGGACGAGGUGGUCAGUCGAUUACACUUAUUUUACCGACCUCGAAAGUUUGAAAGACGAAGUUGACAUCGGCGAAAUUUGAACUCAGAACGUAAAGCUG